AAAAAACAAAACAAAAAGGGGGGGAAAGAAAAAGACAGCGCCGAAGGAAACUUUGUUACAACAUGGAGUUCCCUCUUUGCGAUUUUCUGAUACAAACAUGGAGCCUAGGCGCCGUUUCAAGUUACCCCUUAAAAGGGCGAUGGUUGCAGGCUGCCCGGGAGAGCUACGGACGGCGCCAAUGUCUGUCGCCACUGCCAUCCUAAAGAGAAGGCAGGCUGCCGCUACAGUAUAUGCACCGCUCCGGAUUAAGCGCCAGAGGAAAGAAAUGGAAAGCGAUGCGACGCCGCCUCCUCCAAGAGACUCAAGUCGAGGUCCAAGUAACGGGCCUGGAUAAAAACUGGAUGUUCCUAUACUGACUUUCGAUCUUCUGCAAAGGUGAACGUCAAGAGACUCAACAUGUUACUCUGCAGUAAUUAUGCAAGGAGCAAUGAUGUCUGGGUGGCAUUUAGUAAUAUAGCCGGAUAAUCCUAUUUGGAAUUCUUGCAUUUUGCAUCUCUUUCUGUCUCUCCACCCGACCGAGAUUGAAGGCAUCCACCUUCAACAACGCUGUUUACGAUCUCAUGGGAUGUCACUCAGCAAAGUGCAAUAGGCAGCAUGUUAGGUCAGAAUCCAAUAAGUCCAGGGCUCAAAUCCCAAAGUUGCCAGGGGUUGACUUUACAUCAAUCACUGGCUCUCAGGCUGAUCACCCUUACAGGGCUGAUGUAAGGAGAAAGUUGCAAUGAAGGGAAUAAUGUUUUCUACUCUGCCCUUAGCUCUUAAAGAAAAAAAAGGAAAAUAAUUGGAAAUAAACAAACCCAAGAAUCCCA
rnacentral:lncRNA from 1 species